GCCUCUGAGGAUGAUCAAAAAUAUAACUUUCGUUCUUCCGAUUGUUCCCAUGCGGAAAAUAAAUGGAGACCUGAACUGAAGAGGC
rfam:Cajanus cajan chromosome 8, whole genome shotgun sequence.